GGGUGGAGGGCGGAGCCCACGCACGGUGAGAAGUGCGGGGAUGGGGUGUGGGUAGCGGAGAAAUUCCAAUCGAACUUGGAGAUAGCUGGUUCUCUCCGAAAUAGCUUUAGGGCUAGCCUCACGUAGUUAGAGUCUUGGAGGUAGAGCACUGUUUGGACUAGGGGCCCUCAUCGGGUUACCGAAUUCAGACAAACUCCGAAUGCCAUAGACUUACUUCCGGGAGUCAGACAGUGAGUGCUAAGAUCCAUUGUCAAAAGGGAAACAGCCCAGACCAUCAGCUAAGGUCCCCAAGUGUGUGUUAAGUGGGAAAGGAUGUGGAGUUGCACAGACAACCAGGAUGUUGGCUUAGAAGCAGCCAUCAUUGAAAGAGUGCGUAAUAGCUCACUGGUCGAGUGACUCUGCGCCGAAAAUGUAACGGGGCUAAACACACCACCGAAGCUAUGGCUUGAUGCUUUGCAUCAGGGGUAGGGGAGCGUU
rnacentral:rRNA from 1 species